AAAGCACCGCCCACUCUUUGGCGAGUUCCGGUUAUCGAGAAAGUGUCCGACUGCUAGGGGAGGAGCUGCCUAGAGGAGAUGGCUUCGCGGUUGUGGUCAACGGCUGGCUCUUGGGCAAGGUCGCGACCCGUCGAGAACCAGAAGGUGCCCUUAGCAACGGUUUUAUCCUCACGAAAUAUGACCGUUACUCGGACUGGCGCCAUCUUGCCCAAGCCCGUCAAAAUGCCAUUUGGACUUGUUCGUGUGUUUGCCAUUGUAAUUCCCUUUCUCUACGUUGGGACACAAAUCAGCAAAAGUUUUGCAGCCUUGCUUGAAGAACAUGAUAUCUUUGUACCAGAGGAUGAUGAUGAUGAUGACUAACAGCAUGAAUGGCCCGUUCUUCUGAUGCCUUCCUUUCUUUUUCCUGUUAUCUUCUACAUCCAGUACUGCAGUAAAGCUAAAGUCUACAGUGUGGCAGUAAGAGGAACAAAGCCAUAAUAAAAUGUUCUGAUAUCUAUGUUAAUCUCCGUUCCUCUCAGAUGGCUAAUGAACAUUUUGGGAACAGCUGGACUUCCCAUUGUACCACGGAUUGUUCUGUGCAUGUAUAAACAAGAAUGUUUAAAUGCUAUAUCUAUUUAAGAAUACAUAGAUAUGUCUUGAUUCAACAAUUGUUGCAUGCUUAGAGUGUACCUUAUUUCUGAAUACACUGGAUCCCUAAUUAAUACAAAAUUCUUCUGGAUAGUAAAUUAAGAAUUAGA